AACGAACGCUGGCGGCAUGCCUAACACAUGCAAGUCGAACGAGACCUUCGGGUCUAGUGGCGCACGGGUGCGUAACGCGUGGGAACCUGCCCUUAGGUUCGGAAUAACUCCCCGAAAGGGGUGCUAAUACCGGAUAAUGUCUUCGGACCAAAGAUUUAUCGCCUUUGGAUGGGCCCGCGUUGGAUUAGCUAGUUGGUAGGGUAAAAGCCUACCACGGCGACGAUCCAUAGCUGGUCUGAGAGGAUGAUCAGCCACACUGGGACUGAGACACGGCCCAGACUCCUACGGGAGGCAGCAGUGGGGAAUAUUGGACAAUGGGCGAAAGCCUGAUCCAGCAAUGACGCGUGAGUGAUGAAGGCCUUAGGGUUGUAAAGCUAUUUUACCCGGGAUGAUAAUGACAGUACCGGGAGAAUAAGCACCGGCUAACUCCGUG
rnacentral:rRNA from 1 species